rnacentral:rRNA from 1 species
AGCAGCCGCGGUAAUUCCAGCUCCAAUAGCGUAUAUUAAAGUUGUUGCAGUUAAAAAGCUCGUAGUUGAAUUUCGGGAUUCUACCGUUGGUCGGGCUAUUGUCUGUACUGGCGUGUAGAAUUUCUACCUUCUGGGGAACUAUCAUGUUAUUAAUUUAGCGUGGUAGGAAACCAGGACCUUUACCUUGAGAAAAUUAGAGUGUUCAAAGCAGGCUUAUGUCUGAAUACGUUAGCAUGGAAUAAUAAAAUAGGACGGUGGUCCUGUUUUGUUGGUUUCUGAAUCACCGUAAUGAUUAAUAGGGAUAGUUGGGGGCAUUAGUAUUCAAUUGUCAGAGGUGAAAUUCUUGGAUUUAUUGAAGACUAACUACUGCGAAAGCAUUUGCCAAGGAUGUUUUCAUUAAUCAAGAACGAAAGUUAGGGGAUCGAAGACGAUCAGAUACCGUCGUAGUCUUAACCAUAAACUAUGCCGACUAGGGAUCGGACGAUGUUAACUUUCUUGACUCGUUCGGCGCCUUACGGGA